rnacentral:rRNA from 1 species
GACGAACGCUGGCGGCGUGCUUAACACAUGCAAGUCGAACGGAAAGGCCCUGCUUUUGUGGGGUGCUCGAGUGGCGAACGGGUGAGUAACACGUGAGUAACCUGCCCUUGACUUUUGGAUAACUUCAGGAAACUGGGGCUAAUCCCGGAUAGGAGCUCCUGCUGCAUUGUGGGGGUUGGAAAGUUUCGGCGGUUGGGGAUGGACGCGCGGCUUAUCAGCUUGUUGGUGGGGUAGUGGCUUACCAAGGCUUUGACGGGUAGCCGGCCUGAGAGGGUGACCGGCCACAUUGGGACUGAGAUACGGCCCAGAAUCCUACGGGAGGCAGCAGUGGGGAAUAGUGCAAAAUGGGCGGAAGCCUGAUGCAGCAACGCCGCGUGCGGGAUGAAGGCCUUCGGGUUGUAAACCGCUUUCGCCUGUGACGAAGCGUGAGUGACGGUAAUGGGUAAAGAAGCACCGGCUAACUACGUG